rnacentral:tmRNA from 1 species
GGGGGUGUAAUUGGUUUCGACAGUACCCCAGAAAUAUUAAUAGCGAGUAGUGGAUUUCUCACUUGGCCACUUAAAAAAUGUGAGGAAAUAAAAUAAACGCUGAUAAUAAAGAAUUAGCAUACGCUGCCUAAGUAUAGCGACGUCUUAGAAAAAAUGCCCACGUUUUUUCAUAAGGCGACGAAUUAGUGGGAAACGAAGCUAUUUCUUGCUAUGGAAGUAGUGGGUAAAAUAAUAGCUACUUAAAAUAUAAGUUUGUUUGUUAAUUUGUAUUUUAGGGAAUUCUAAUAACAAACUGCACUCGGAGAAGUUAAUAUGGAAAGGAUAUUGGACAGGAGUUCGACUCUCCUCACCUCCACCA